rnacentral:rRNA from 1 species
CCUACGGGAGGCAGCAGUGGGGAAUAUUGCACAAUGGGGGAAACCCUGAUGCAGCGACGCCGCGUGAGUGAAGAAGUAUUUCGGUAUGUAAAGCUCUAUCAGCAGGGGAGAAAAUUACGGUACCUGACUAAGACGCCCCGGCUAACUACGUGCCAGCCGCCGCGGUUAUACGUAGGGGGCAAGCGUUAUCCGGAUUUACUGGGUGUAAAGGGGGCGUAGACGGCGGAACAAGUCAGAAGUGAAAACCCGGGGAUCAACCCUGGGAGUGCUUUUGAAACUGUUUGGCUGGAGUGCAGGAGAGGUAAGCGGAAUGCGUAGUGUAGCGGUGAAAUGCGUAGAUAUUAGGAGGAACACCAGUGGCGAAGGCGGCUUACUGGACUGUAACUGACGUUGAGGCUCGAAAGCGUGGGGAGCAAACAGGAUUAGAUACCCUUGUAGUC